rnacentral:rRNA from 1 species
CCCAGACUCCUACGGGAGGCAGCAGUGGGGAAUAUUGGGCAAUGGAGGAAACUCUUACCCAGCAAUGCCGCGUGAAUGAAGAAGGUCUUCGGAUUGUAAAGUUCUUUAAUUGGGGACGAAAAAAAUGACGGUACCCAAGGAAUAAGCCCCGGCUAACUACGUGCCAGCAGCCGCGGUAAUGCGUAGGGGGCAAGCGUUAUCCGGAUUUACUGGGUGUAAAGGGAGCGUAGACGGCAGUGCAAGUCUGAAGUGAAAGGCGGGGGCCCAACCCCCGGACUGCUUUGGAAACUGUGCUGCUGGAGUGCAGGAGAGGCAAGUGGAAUUCCUAGUGUAGCGGUGAAAUGCGUAGAUAUUAGGAGGAACACCAGUGGCGAAGGCGGCUUGCUGGACUGUAACUGACGUUGAGGCUCGAAAGCGUGGGGAGCAAACAGGAUUAGAUACCCCAGUAG